GACGAACCGUGCGAACGUUGUUCGGAUUCACUGGGCUUAAAGGGCGCGUAGGCGGUCGACCAAGUCUGGGGUGAAAUCUUUCGGCUUAAACCGGAAAAGUGCCCCCGAUACUGGCCGGCUAGAGGGAGAUAGGGGCAUGUGGAACUUCCGGUGGAGCGGUGAAAUGCGUAGAUAUCGGAAGGAACGCCGGUGGCGAAAGCGACGUGCUGGAUCUCUUCUGACGCUGAGGCGCGAAAGCCAGGGGAGCAAACGGGAUUAG
rnacentral:rRNA from 1 species